GACGAACGCUGGCGGCGUGCUUAACACAUGCAAGUCGAACGGAAAGGCCCUGCUUUUGUGGGGUGCUCGAGUGGCGAACGGGUGAGUAACACGUGAGUAACCUGCCCUUGACUUUGGGAUAACUUCAGGAAACUGGGGCUAAUACCGGAUAGGAGCUCCUGCUGCAUGGUGGGGGUUGGAAAGUUUCGGCGGUUGGGGAUGGACUCGCGGCUUAUCAGCUUGUUGGUGGGGUAGUGGCUUACCAAGGCUUUGACGGGUAGCCGGCCUGAGAGGGUGACCGGCCACAUUGGGACUGAGAUACGGCCCAGACUCCUACGGGAGGCAGCAGUGGGGAAUGUUGCACAAUGGGCGGAAGCCUAAUGCGGCAACGCCGCGUGCGGGAUGACAGCCUUCGGGCUGUAAACCGCUUUCGCCUGUGACGAAGCGUGAGUGACGGUAAUGUGUAAAGAAGCACCGGCUAACUACGUG
rnacentral:rRNA from 1 species